GAGUUUGAUCUUGGCUCAGAUUGAACGCUGGCGGCAUGCUUUACACAUGCAAGUCGAACGGCAGCGCGGGGCAACCUGGCGGCGAGUGGCGAACGGGUGAGUAAUAUAUCGGAACGUACCCAAGAGUGGGGGAUAACGUAGCGAAAGUUACGCUAAUACCGCAUACGAUCUAAGGAUGAAAGUGGGGGAUCGCAAGACCUCAUGCUCCUGGAGCGGCCGAUAUCUGAUUAGCUAGUUGGUGAGGUAAAGGCUCACCAAGGCGACGAUCAGUAGCUGGUCUGAGAGGACGACCAGCCACACUGGAACUGAGACACGGUCCAGACUCCUACGGGAGGCAGCAGUGGGAAUUUUGGACAAUGGGCGCAAGCCUGAUCCAGCAAUGCCGCGUGAGUGAAGAAGGCCUCGGUUGUAAG
rnacentral:rRNA from 1 species